rnacentral:rRNA from 1 species
UACGUAGGUGGCAAGCGUUGUCCGGAUUUACUGGGCGUAAAGAGCGCGCAGGCGGUCGACCAAGUCGCGUGUGAAGCCCCCGGCUCAACUGGGGAGGGUCACGCGAUACUGAUCGACUCGAAGGCAGGAGAGGGUAGUGGAAUUCCCGGUGUAGUGGUGGAAAUGCGUAGAUAUCGGGAGGAACACCAGUGGCGAAGGCGGCUCACUGGCCCGGUACUGACGCUGAGGUGCGAAAGCGUGGGGAGCAAACAGG